GUCUGUGAUGAAUUGCUUUGACUUCUGACACCUCGUAUGAAAACUGCACGUGCAGUCUGAUUAUUUAGCAAGACUGAGGCUUGAGGGUGCGCACUCCUGACGGGGAGCUGAGAGUGGAAACAGGUGUUGCCCGAAACGAAGGAGUGGGGACUUAAUGUCUGUAUUUUGGCGCUGACUUUCAGGUUUCGUCGCGAGCCGGCUGCAAGUUUUGAACCUAAGUAAACCUCAAUCCGGAGGGCCUAGCGGUAAGGUGGGCGCUGUGUCUAUUGAAGUGCUUAGCAAUAAAGAAAGGUAGUGAGUUGA
rnacentral:lncRNA from 1 species